GUGGAUGAGGCAUGCAAGUCGAACGAGAGUUGGAGCAAUCCAACUUUAGUGGCGAAAGGGUUAGUAAUGCAUGGGUAACUUGCCUUUAACAUUGGGAUAACGUCUGGAAACGAGCGCUAAUACCGAAUGAGAUGGGAUGUGGCAUCACAUCCUUAUCAAAGUUGGGGAUCUAGAAAUAGACCUUGCGGUUAGAGAGAGGCCCAUGAGGUAUCAGCUAGUUGGUGAGGUAAAAGCUUACCAAGGCAAAGACGUCUAGGCGGAUUGAGAGAUUG
rnacentral:rRNA from 1 species